rnacentral:rRNA from 1 species
UACGAAGGGUGCAAACGUUGCUCGGAAUCAUUGGGCGUAAAGCGCACGUAGGCGGCCUCAGGUGUCGGAUGUGAAAGCCCGGGGCUCAACCCCGGAGGUGCAUCCGAAACUCUGGGGCUGGAGGUCGGAAGAGGAGGGUGGAAUACCCAGUGUAGAGGUGAAAUUCGUAGAUAUUGGGUGGAACACCCAGGGGGAAACCAGUCGACUGGGCAGCACCUGACGCUGAGGUGCGAGAGCGUGGGGAGCGAACCGG